AUUGAUUCAUUCUUUGCUCUUCU
rnacentral:miRNA from 1 species